rnacentral:rRNA from 1 species
UGGUGGAGUGAUUUGUCUGGUUAAUUCCGAUAACGAACGAGACCUCAACCUACUAAAUAGUUAUGCAGACUCUUCUACUCAAGAGCGUCGGUGGGGUGGGCAAGUCUUCGGAUGAGCUUAUUCUGUCCGGACUCUGGAUUAGUCUGUAGCGAACUUCUUAGAGGGACUAUCUGUGUUAAGCAGAUGGAAGUUUGAGGCAAAAACA